ensembl:lncRNA
AUGUCUACAGGUUUGAUGUGCCUGCUGCAGGUGACUGGUGAACUGAGCCGUGAUCAACCGAAGGAUUCUUACAUGCCCGUGUGGACAGGAGGAGCCGCUGCUGGCCCUGAAAGUAUGGACUGGAAAGUAUGCGUGCUGUGGCCACAGUCCCACCUCUCAGCCUGGGAACGGAAGCAGGGAGUUGCAAGGGAAAACAAGCAGACAAUCAGGCCUCUCUCUGACUGGCUCACUUCCCUUUCUGACUUCCUGGGCCUAUUCUACAAUCUCCCUCCCCAGUGGAGUGAACUCACCAUGCAGGAUUCUCUAGCUGUCUCUGCAUUCCACCAAAUGAGUUGGAAAAUGCAAAACUGUAAGGGAAAUCUUUUCCAUAUUCAUGCAGGCUCCCCGCCCGCUUCAUGUCUGCUAGCCAAGAUGAGGUCUGUCCGGGUUGUCCCUGUAUGAACUCUGGCAGAGGUCGCGACCUUUGGUCAGAAUGGAGAAAGUGGACCACAGUGCACUAAUUGAAACAAAAGACCUCUUUACCGUCAUCCUGGCACAACAGGGAGGUGCAACUUAUAGCCAGUGCACACAUCCUGCACUUUCCCACACAAUGACUUGGACUCACUUAGAACUGUCGGCCUCACAGCUGUGACGUCAAGGCAAACAUCUAUAUCAAAAUAACAGCUCCACUGUAAAGAAGAGGGCAUGCAUCAUUAAUGCAGCACACAUAAAGACGGAAGGGUGAUAAAGCUCACCUCUUAGUAUGUAAAACAAUGACCGUGAGACUGUGAAGUAUGUUAUUCCAGCCUACUCUGUUAGUAUUUUUCUUCCUAAUGCCGUGCCUGUCUUUCCCUUUGCUAGACUCUUAAGUAAAUGCUUGGGUUAAAAAGAUUAAUGUAUUUAAGAUGUGGAAAUCAGGUUUGUGUGCCAGUCAGAACUGAAUAAGAAUGCCUUUCAGAUUCUAACUGAAUUCCUGAAUUUGAUUUUAGGUAGCAAACAACAUGCAGAAUUGCAAAAAUAAAAAAAAUAAAAAAAACA